rnacentral:rRNA from 1 species
GACGAACGCUGGCGGCGUGCUUAACACAUGCAAGUCGAACGGAAAGGCCUGGUGCUUGCACUGGGUGCUCGAGUGGCGAACGGGUGAGUAACACGUGGGUGAUCUGCCCUCAACUUUGGGAUAAGCCUGGGAAACUGGGUCUAAUACCGGAUAGGACAAUCUUUAGUGUGGUUGUUGGAAAGCUUUUGCGGUUGGGGAUGAGCUCGCGGCCUAUCAGCUUGUUGGUGGGUAAUGGCCUACCAAGGCGUCGACGGGUAGCCGGCCUGAGAGGGUGUACGGCCACAUUGGGACUGAGAUACGGCCCAG